rnacentral:rRNA from 1 species
UGCAGUCGAGCGGAGAUGAGGUGCUUGCACCUUAUCUUAGCGGCGGACGGGUGAGUAAUGCUUAGGAAUCUGCCUAUUAGUGGGGGACAACAUUCCGAAAGGAAUGCUAAUACCGCAUACGCCCUACGGGGGAAAGCAGGGGAUCUUCGGACCUUGCGCUAAUAGAUGAGCCUAAGUCGGAUUAGCUAGUUGGUGGGGUAAAGGCCUACCAAGGCGACGAUCUGUAGCGGGUCUGAGAGGAUGAUCCGCCACACUGGGACUGAGACACGGCCCAGACUCCUACGGGAGGCAGCAGUGGGGAAUAUUGGACAAUGGGCGGAAGCCUGAUCCAGCCAUGCCGCGUGUGUGAAGAAGGCCUUUUGGUUGUAAAGCACUUUAAGCGAGGAGGAGGCUACUUAGAUUAAUACUCUAGGAUAGUGGACGUUACUCGCAGAAUAAGCACCGGCUAACUCUGUGCCAGCAGCCGCGGUAAUACAGAGGGUGCGAGCGUUAAUCGGAUUUACUGGGCGUAAAGCGUGCGUAGGCGGCUGAUUAAGUCGGAUGUGAAAUCCCUGAGCUUAACUUAGGAAUUGCAUUCGAUACUGGUCAGCUAGAGUAUGGGAGAGGAUGGUAGAAUUCCAGGUGUAGCGGUGAAAUGCGUAGAGAUCUGGAGGAAUACCGAUGGCGAAAGCAGCCAUCUGGCCUAAUACUGACGCUGAGGUACGAAAGCAUGGGGAGCAAACAGGAUUAGAUACCCUGGUAGUCCAUGCCGUAACGAUGU